rnacentral:rRNA from 1 species
AUGAGGCUCCUCAGUUGGAACUGCCGAGGACUAGGGCAACCUCGGACAGUUCAGGAGCUCGUGUGCCUCGUGAGCACAUAUCGCCCGUCGGUAGUAUUUAUCUCGGAGACCCAUCAGUGUGAAGAGAGUGUCAGGAAGCUUCGGUGGAGACUAGGCCUGAAACAUUGUAUCACCCACAAUGGGAAGGGCAAGGGAGGUGGCAUAGCUUUGUUUUGGGAUGAAACAAUUGAAAUAAAGAGACUCUCAGUUGGCCCGAGGUACAUUGAUGUGCAUAUCCGUGAAAACACUCACAGCCCGUGGUGGCGCGGCACUUUUGUGUAUGGUGAGCCGAAAGCUCACGAGCGGCACCACAUGUGGAACCUGCUUAGAAGAAUUAAGAUGAAUUCUGGUGAACCGUGGAUGAUGAUAGGGGACCUAAAUGAAAUUAUGUGGCAAAGUGAGCACAUCUCAGCGUCGAAAAGAUCUGAAAGGUAUAUGGCUAAUUUUAGAGAGGCCCUGUCUGAUUGCAAUCUUCAUGAAUUAGGGUACAGUGGGCCAUGCUGGACAUAUGAUAAUAGACAAGUAGGCAGCGACAAUGUUAAAGCCAGAUUAGAUAGGGGUCUGGCUUGCCCGCGGUGGUCGGAUCUUUUCAUGGACGCUAGGAUACAACGAGUGAAGUUUGUUUUGAACCUUGAGGUUGUAGAGCACGAUGAAAAUGAACCUUCACGUCUAAAUCCUUGA